UACGUCAAAAUUCUGUCAAAAUGCAUUUUUUGACGAAAAUUAUUCCCAAUAAGUAACGGCCUCUACACAUUGGAAGCAAUUUUCGUGAAAAAUUGCAUUUUUGACAGAAUUUUGAUGU
rnacentral:pre_miRNA from 1 species